rnacentral:misc_RNA from 1 species
AGCAAUUCAUCUGCCUCUGUCACCUUGGUGUUGUAGGUGGCAUGGUGGGCUUCGAGUGACGGGAACUUGGAGAUUACGGUAUCUAUCCAUGAUUGGUCUUCUUCGAUGAAAACAGUGCGGCCACCGUGGUUGAGGGCGGCCCACAUGAGACUGUCGUGGCCGAGGCCGAAGACGAGGAAGUUGCAGGGGGCUUUACGGGCGAGGACUCGGGCUGUGA